rnacentral:rRNA from 1 species
AACGAACGCUGGCGGCAUGCCUAACACAUGCAAGUCGAACGAAGGCUUCGGCCUUAGUGGCGCACGGGUGCGUAACGCGUGGGAAUCUACCCUUGGGUUCGGAAUAACUCAGAGAAAUUUGUGCUAAUACCGGAUGAUGUCGCAAGACCAAAGAUUUAUCGCCCAAGGAUGAGCCCGCGUAGGAUUAGCUAGUUGGUGGGGUAAAGGCCCACCAAGGCGACGAUCCUUAGCUGGUCUGAGAGGAUGAUCAGCCACACUGGGACUGAGACACGGCCCAGACUCCUACGGGAGGCAGCAGUGGGGAAUAUUGGACAAUGGGCGAAAGCCUGAUCCAGCAAUGCCGCGUGAGUGAUGAAGGCCUUAGGGUUGUAAAGCUCUUUUACCCGGGAUGAUAAUGACAGUACCGGGAGAAUAAGCUCCGGCUAACUCCGUGCCAGCAGCCGCGGUAAUACGGAGGGAGCUAGCGUUGUUCGGAAUUACUGGGCGUAAAGCGCGCGUAGGCGGUUUUUCAAGUCAGAGGUGAAAGCCUGGAGCUCAACUCCAGAACUGCCUUUGAAACUGGAUGACUUGAGUCUUGGAGAGGUCAGUGGAAUUCCGAGUGUAGAGGUGAAAUUCGUAGAUAUUCGGAAGAACACCAGUGGCGAAGGCGACUGACUGGACAAGUACUGACGCUGAGGUGCGAAAGCGUGGGGAGCAAACAGGCUUAGAUACCCUGGUAGUCCACGCCGUAAACGAUGAUAACUAGCUGUCCGGGCACAUGGUGUUUGGGUGGCGCAGCUAACGCAUUAAGUUAUCCGCCUGGGGAGUACGGCCGCAAGGUUA